UACGUAGGGGGCAAGCGUUGUCCGGAUUUAUUGGGCGUAAAGAGUGUGUAGGCGGCCAGUUAGGUCCGUUGUGAAAACUCGAGGCUCAACCUCGAGACGCCGAUGGAAACCAUCUGGCUAGAGUCCGGAAGAGGAGAGUGGAAUUCCCGGUGUAGCGGUGAAAUGCGCAGAUAUCGGGAAGAACACCCGUGGCUAAGGCGGCUCUCUAGUACGGUACUGACGCUGAGACGCGAAAGCGUGGGGAGCGAACAGG
rnacentral:rRNA from 1 species